GCCCGGGUGGUGAAAUUGGUAGACACGCAGGACUUAAAAUCCUGUAACCCUAAAAGGUUGUGCGGGUUCAAGUCCCGCCCCGGGUA
rnacentral:tRNA from 1 species